rnacentral:lncRNA from 1 species
UUUCUUUUCUUCUUGAAUCAACGAGAACCAAAACUCAUACAUUCAACUGAGAGCUUCGUUUUUUUUUUCUACACACCUUCUUUCUAUUCUCUCUUCUAUAGUUUUUAUAAUGAAGAGGAAGAUAUGAAAAACGAAUGAACCGACUCAACACCGGUUUAACAACUUCGGUUUUACAUAAAACAGACUAACUGCUCUAAUGAAUUAUGACACGUGUAUUUACUUUUGUUUUAAGUCUUCCAGCUCUGCAAACACGUGUGAUGAGCAGACUCUCUCUUCAAGUCAGUCUUGAAUUAUCUUCAAAUGCCUCUUCGUUUCACAUGCAUUGCCACAGAUACAGUCUUCUUCAAGUCAGCUUCUUUAACAUCCCCCCGCAAAUUGGGAGGGGGUAAAUAUCCCAAGCCCAAUUUGGUUCGAAGACUAAAAUGUAGGUAGCGAGGUAAUGAUUUUGUAAAAAUAUCUGCAAGUUGACGAGCACUGGGAAUAUAAGAAACAAUCAAGGAUCCAGAAGCAACCUUUUCACGGACAAAAUGAAAAUCUACUUCAAUAUGCUUUGUGCGAGCAUGUAGAACAGGGUUAAGUGAGAGAGCAAUAGCUGACUUGUUGUCACAGAAGAGAGAUGUUGGAGCAGAUAAGCCAAUGCCGAUGUCUCGAAGGACAAAACUAACCCAUGUAAGAUCAGCUGUUGCUGAGGCUAAGGCACGAUAUUCAGCUUCUGUCGAUGAACGAGAGACAGUAGAUUGCCGUUUUGCUGACCAAGAAAUUAGAUUAGAGCCAAGAUAUGUACAAAAACCAGUAGUAGAUCGCCUGGUAGUACUACAUCCUGCCCAAUCCGCAUCAGCAAAACCAUACAGAUGCAUGAAGCUAUUGGAAUGAAUGGUUAGUCCAAGAGUAACAGUGCCUUUCACGUAUCGAAGAACUCUUUUGAGCUUGUGAAAAUCACCUAAUGUAGGCUGCUGCAUCUUUUGACAGAGAAGAUUAGUGGCAUAAGCAAUAUCUGGACGAGUUAUAGUGAGAUACUGAAGUCCACCCACAAGACUUCGAUACUCAAGGGGAUGUUGUAAUAAGAUAUCAUCAGUUAUGAUGGCUGCAGGCCGUAAUGAAAGAGGAGUAGAAACAGGUCUGCAAUCUUUCAUAUUAGCUCGAGUAAGUAAAUCAAGAGCAUAUUUGGUCUGAGAAAGAAAUAAAUCUUGUGUGGUUUGUUUAACCUCAAUUCCCAAAAAAUAAUGCAGAAGACCAAGAUCCUUCAUAUGAAAUUGAAGGCUUAGUAGAUGAAUUAAGUUGGAAAGUAAGUGAGGUGAACUUCCAGUGAGCACAAUAUCAUCUACAUAGAGCAAUAACAGUAUGGUGUCUGAGCCAUGGUGAAAAACAAAUAAUGAAGGAUCCGUGGUGCUGCAAGAAAACCCAUUUUCAAGAAGAAAGAUACUGAAUUUAUCAAACCAUGCUCGAGGUGCUUGACGAAGACCAUACAAGGAUUUCUUAAGCAGACAUACAUGAUGAGGCUUCUGAGGGUGUAUAAAGCCUGGUGGCUGCUGCAUAUACACAGUUUCAUUUAAAGUGCCAUGCAGGAAGGCAUUCUUAACAUCAAGCUGAUGGAUUGACCAAUGCUUUGUCACUGCCACAGAAAGAAUAAUUCGAAUAGUAGCAUGUUUAAUGACAGGGCUGAAGGUCUCUGUAAAAUCAAUACCUUCUUCUUGAUGAAACCCCUUAGCUACUAAUCUUGCUUUAAGUCUAUCAAGCUUACCAUCUGCAGUAAGUUUAGUCUUAAACACCCACUUGCACCCGAUAACAUUCAUGUGAUCAGUUUGAGGUACUAAUUCCCAUGUCUGGUUUGUGUAUAAGGCAUCCAUUUCAUCUUGCAUUGCUUGAUACCAUCCUCUGUCUGCCAGUGCAGAUUUGACUGUUUUUGGUUCAAGAGGAACUUUAUACUCGGCCAAGCAUGCAUAUUUAGGUCAAUGUUGGCAUAGAACACAUUUGUUCCUCAGUAUGCACUUGUAGUAAUUCAGUAGAGUGUAUAUUUUCUGGAGAACUACUUUGUACUUGAUCAGUAUCAACCUCUAGCAAUGUUGGCAUAGAACCUAUUGGUUCCUCAGUAUGCAUUUGUGAUGCAUGAAUGUGAGAGUUCUGUAUUAAUCCAGUAUCUUGCAAAUACCCCAUCUGUUCAUUGGACAUAGACUGAACUUGUGCUGUAGUUAUAGAGUCUAGAAAUGUUACUCCAUUUAUCCACUGUUUGUACAAGUUUGUACCUUGAUGAUACUCAGUUGGUAGUCGACUGGUGAAGGGAAAAACUGAUUCAUCAAACACCACAUGACGACUUACAUAGAUAUGUCCAUUAGUGGGUAGAAGACAUCGAUACCCUUUAUGUUUUUCACUAUAUCCCAAAAAAAUACAUAUAAGAGACCUUGGAUCAAGCUUAUGCUGUGCAUAUGGUCUGAGACAGGGAUAACAAGCACAUCCAAAGACCCUUAAAUGUGUAUAGCUUGGUUUUUGUUGAUACAAUUUUCUGUAGGGUGAAUCCAUAUGGAGCUUUGAAGCAGGAAGCAGAUUAAUGAUAUAAUUUGCUGUAAUGAAAGCAUCUACCCAGAAUUUUAAGGGUACUUUGGCAUGAUAUAGCAUUGCUAGUCCUAGCUCCACCACAUGUCGAUGUUUUCUUUCAGAUAGACCAUUCUGUUCUGGUGUAUAGGGACAGGAAAUGUGUUGUUUAAUUCCACAUUGUUGUAGAUAAUUUUGAACUUUGUUGCUGGUGAACUCACCUCCUCCAUCACACUGAAAGAUUUUUAUCUUAUGAUCAAACUGAUUCUCGACUUGCUUUUGAAACAGGAUAAAGAUGUCAUAGAAUUCUGACUUCUGUUUCAUUGGAUACAGCCAACUGUAUCGAGAGAAAUCAUCCACAAAAAUGACAUAAUAUCGAAAUUUUUGAAAGGAUUGAAUUGGUGAGGGUCCCCAAACAUCACAAUGUAUCUUUUCUAGAGGAGUAUUAGAUGUAUAGUCUGACAUAGGAAAGGGUAAGGCUGAACUCUUAGCAAUCUGGCAACUACUACAUAGGCCUUGAGUUCUUGAACUACACUGAAUUAGGUGCUGACUGUGCAGAUACUUCACUGUUUUUAAACUGGUAUGUGCCAGCCUUUGAUGCCAUAAGUCUUCUCCUACUUCUUUUUGAAUUUGAGUGAAGAAAACUUCUUUGACUUUAGGAUCAACUUGAUAUAGUCCCUUGACUUUGCUUCCUAGCCUCACUGUUGUAUUGUUGCAGUUGUCCUUCAGAUAUACCCCAUGUUUGUCAAAAAUAAAAGCACAGGGAUAAUCAUCUGUUAACUUUGAAACAGACAGUAGAUUUUUCUUUAUUUCUGGUACUAGCAAAACAUCAUUUAGUGGUAAUGAGCUAGUUGUAGUAUGCAAUAAGCCAUCACCAACACAGGAGAUUGAUAAACAGGAACCGUCUCCUAUCAUAACAGUAUCAGUACCAUUAUAUAAAGAACAGUAUUGAAGCAUACCAGGGUCUGCAGUGAUAUGAGCUGAGGCUCCUGUAUCUGGAUACCAUUCAGUGCCAUGUGAGUCUUCAAUAUGCAUUGCUGCUAGUGCAGUUGGUAUUUCAUCCGCUUGAUAUGAAUUAUCAAAGCGAUACCAGCAUCGAAGUGCUGUAUGACCUGGCCUUUUACAGAUUUGGCAUUCUAAUGGACUAUUACUUGCUAUUUUCACAUUCUGCAUAUUCUGACCAGAUGCUACACUUUGUGGUGGAUAAGACUUAGUGGCUUGAUACUUUUGGGAAGAAUUUACAUAUGGUCUGAACCCUUGUCCAUAGUUAGACCAGUUGUGUGACAACUUGUUAACCUGAUCUUCUUGAUUUAGAUUCGGGUUAUUCAUCCUGUAGUGUUGAUUUCUUCCUGUUUCAACAUAGUCAUUACCAUGAUUUCUAAUACUCACUGCACGUCCCCUGCCAUAACCAUAUCCACCUCGACUAUUUCCUCUUUGAUUUCUGAAGUUAGAGUUUUGCACAAUUCCAGCUGACUUUCUUUGGCCAUAGUAGGCUAGAUUAGGAUUAUAUUGAUUCACAGAAUAUGUCUGUAGCCUGGUUUCAAACCUUUCGAGCUGAGAUAUAACCUCAUCAUAAUCUGGUUGAGGUUUUAAGCAAUACAUUGUUGUUCUGAAGCUUUCAUAUUCUGAACCUAAUCCCUCGAGAACACCAAACAUCUUGGUUAUCUCAUCAACAGGUUUCCCAAUGGCAUUAAGUUGAUCACAAAUAGACUUAAACUCUCGAAGAUACACAUUCAACGAUCUAUCUCUUUUCUGACAUGCUUGCAAUUUUCCCCUAAGUUCGAAUUCUUUUGCUACUGACUUCUGUGUAAACCGAUUAAGAAGAGUCUGCCAUACCUCAUAUGAUGUCUCUAGCCCAAUGAUCAAGCUUAAGAUGUUCUCAGAUACUGCUCCACUUAUCCAAGAUGAAAUUAGCUGAUCGGUCUUCAUCCAAUCUGUAUGAUCAGGAUUCACCACUUCUGUUUCACUUCCUUCAAUCUCAAUCUGCAUCAUUUGAGCUGGUGGUGGCGUUUCGCCAUUGAUGAAUCCAAAAAGAUCCUGACUGCGCAGGAACCUAUGAAAUUGCGCUUGCCAAAGCAGAAAAUUAUCUUCAGCUAGUUUUAUUGUAACAAAGUUUGCUAUAUUGACAUGAAUUGGAAAUGGAUACUUCUGUAUCCUUGCUGCCAUUCUGUAUUUCCAGAAACUCUUGAAAAUACGAUUUCUCGACUACUCUUCAAACAGAAAUCAGAUUCUGUUCUUGAUCUUCUUACUAUCUUCUGGAUCACACGAACUUUUACAGGAUUUCGAACAGUAUAGCAGAGAAAUCCGGAGCUCUCAGGAAAGCUCUGAUACCAUGUGAAGAAACGAAGAACAGAGAAAACAAAGAACAGAGAACAGAGGACGAAGAACAAAGAACAGAGAACACAAGAUGAAGAGGAAGGAUUUCUUUUCUUCUUGAAUCAACGAGAACCAAAACUCAUACAUUCAACUGAGAGCUUCGCUUUUUCUCCACACCUUCUUUCUAUUCUCUCUUCUAUAGUUUUUAUAAUGAAGAGGAAGAUAUGAAAAACGAAUGAACCGACUCAACACCGGUUUAACAACUUCGGUUUUACAUAAAACAGACUAACUGCUCUAAUGAAUUAUGACACGUGUAUUUACUUUUGUUUUAAGUCUUCCAGCUCUGCAAACACGUGUGAUGAGCAGACUCUCUCUUCAAGUCAGUCUUGAAUUAUCUUCAAAUGCCUCUUCGUUUCACAUGCAUUGCCACAGAUACAGUCUUCUUCAAGUCAGCUUCUUUAACAG